AGCGAACGCUGGCGGCAGGCUUAACACAUGCAAGUCGAGCGGGCACUUUCGGGUGUCAGCGGCGGACGGGUGAUUAACGCGUGGGAACGUGCCCUCUGGUUCGGAAUAACUCAGGGAAACUUUAGCUAAUACCGGAUACGCCCUUUUGUUGAAAGGCUUGCUGCCGGAGUAUCGGCACGCGUCUUAUUUGCUAGUUGGUGUGGUAACGGCUCACCAAGGCGACGAUCAGUAGCUGGUCUGAGAGGAUGAUCAGCCAAACUAGGACUGAGACACGGCCCAGACUCCUACGGGAGGUAGAGGUGGGGAAUAUUGGACAAUGGGAGAAAGCCUGAGCCAGCCAUGCCGCGUGAGUGAUGAAGGCCUUAGGGUUGUCAAGCUCUUUUAUCCGGGACGAUAAUGACGGUACCGGAGGAAUAAGCCCCGGCUAACUUCGUG
rnacentral:rRNA from 1 species